rnacentral:rRNA from 1 species
UACGAAGGGUGCAAGCGUUGCUCGGAAUUAUUGGGCGUAAAGGGUAGGUAGGUGGUAAUAAAAGUCUGGGGUGAAAUCCCUGAGCUCAACUCAGGACGUGCCUUGGAAACUUUAUUACUAGAGUGCUGGAGAGGUCCGCAGAAUUCCCCGGUGUAGCGGUGAAAUGCGUAGAGAUCGGGAGGAAUACCAGAGGCGAAGGCGGCGGACUGGACAGUCACUGACACUCAACUACGAAAGCGUGGGUAGCAAACAGG